rnacentral:rRNA from 1 species
GACAGAGGGUGCAAACGUUGCUCGGAAUUACUGGGCGUAAAGCGCGUGUAGGCGGGUCGGUAUGUCGGACGUGAAAUCCCUAGGCUCAACCUAGGAACUGCGCUCGAAACUGCCGGUCUUGAGUGGUGGAGAGGGAAGUGGAAUUCCUGGUGUAGAGGUGAAAUUCGUAGAUAUCAGGAGGAACACCAGUGGCGAAGGCGGCUGACUGGUCCGGUUCUGACGCUGAGGCGCGAAAGCGUGGGGAGCAAACAGG